rnacentral:rRNA from 1 species
GGCCAAACAGAGUGCGUCAACCAGUGCCUGGAGAUGUACCUCCGGUGUGCCGUGCACGAGACGCCCAAGCAAUGGCGCAAGUGGCUACCUACAGCAAAAUUCUGGUACAACUCGACCCAUCACUCCUCUCUGAACUGCUCCCCGUUCAAAGCUUUAUAUGGGCGAGAGCCAAAUCUUGGAGGGCUCCCACACCUGGAUUCGGAGCUGCCAGCGAACGCCCAGGGCAAGGAUCUGGACUGGGCCUCUCACACUGAGCUGCUCCAAUCGCAGCUAGCUCGCGCCCAAGAUCGUUUCAAGAAGCAGGCAGAUCGCCACCGUGCUGAGCGCGCGUUUGAUGUGGGAGAACAGGUUCUGCUCAAGCUUCAACCAUAUGCCCAAACU